GAUAGAGCUAGAGAUUAUGUUCAAUUGCAGGCGCAGAUGCUCCGAUUUUCAAAACCAUUUGGUGCAUAGUUGAAAAGUUAAUGGAAUAAUUAGAAAAAUAAAAGCAGUAAUUUUCAAUGAAAUAUAAGAGGUGUGCUGUGAGAGCAUGGGAAGAUGGUCAAAUGCGUAUAUCACGACCAAUGCAUGAUAAUUGGCAGCUCUGACAGCUCAUGUUUCUCAUGUGUAGGACAUAGAAUGGCCUACAAACCUUUUCUGUAUUGUUUCUUCUAUGCUGUUGAAAUUGAGGCACAUUAAUGAAGUUGACGUUAGUUGGCUGGGUGAAAGUAAAUCAAGCGAGCAUUUCACCAAUUUGACUGCUGGACUACUUUAAAGCCCAAGUCAAACCCUGUUUACAAGGAAAGUCCCGUUGAUGUUCGCCACGCAGUUAUUAUGAUGAUCAGCUGACACAAGCUAAAUAUUAGCACAUGAUGAGACAUCUCAAAGUGAAACUUAACUUAUCCAGUUAACUGGUUCAGUCGAAAGUGCACUAAUACUCAACUUUGAGUGCUCUCAACACCUGCUGAGCAUUGUUUAAAGAAAGAUGUUGACUACCUCAACUUGACUCACGAUCCUUAUUAUUCACCUAGUACCCCAACUCGAGGCAAGAAGAGGUAGUGAAAGUGCACUGACUCCUACAGGCUCCUCGUGAUGGUUCUCUCAACCAUGGAGCACAGCACCAGAAGACCUCCACGCUACUGGCCUCCGGUGGCUCUUUUCCUCGUCUUCAUCCUCACCCAGCAGCUCUACGCCCUCAUCGUGUUACACGGCCAGUUGGUCAGCUCUAGUGAGGCCAACAUCAGCCCUUUCAACUUCUGCCUCCAGGGACAAGAUGUUGGAGUUACCUGUGAUGAUCAACACAACAACAUGGCUACCACCGCUGGUGUAUUAGUGGAUAUCCCCAGGGUUCUGGUCAUUAUGAGUCUGUAUAUUCCACUGGUGCUGGUGCCCUUUGCCCUCAUGGCCUUUCUGUUUGCAGUCUGCUGUGAUGACAGAGGGGUGUUGUGGUUCAGUGUCAGCUGUCUCGCUGCUUCCAGCCUACUGAUGCUUGUGGGCCUCUGUGUGUUUGUGGGGCUCCACUUUAACUAUGUGUCAUUGGCUGGUAUGACAGCAGGGUACUAUGUCUGUGUGUUUGUUAAUGCUGAGCUGGUUACAGCAGCUGUACUGACCUGGAUGACAGGGAGGCGGCAGCCAAGAGAAGACGACAUCCAAUGAUAACUAAUAACCCAGUGGAGAGGCUUGCUGGUAACCAACAAGGGAUUGUCCUCCCUAGUGUUCAAAUAAGAGGAAAUGUUCAGCAACCCCUAACUGACUUCAAACAUUUGUUUGCUGGUCAGGAAAAACAUGUAAACUUUUGAUUUGUUUAUUUCAAGUUUUUCAAUGUGUUCAACAUGAUCAACCAAAAGGGUGUACAUUUUAAAUGACUGUCUAUAUAAUGUUUUUCAAAACAUACUAUUCAUAACUUUAUUUUGUCUGUUUUCAUGUUUGUGUUCUGUUCUGUACAUGGAUGCAUAUUUUAAAUCAAAUUAAGUUUCCAAUAUAAACUCUGAUACAGAGAUACUUUGCUCUUUGACUACUACUACUAUAGUCCUACUGUACUGUGGUCGGUAAUGUUGACGUCAAAAAUGCUACAGUCAUUUUAAUAAAUCGACCACUAGCCUAAGUAAUUAAAAAAGAUAUUGCAUACCUUUUGGAUAACUCAUGUUCCAGUAAAUGAGUGUGAACCUACUUUACCUUAUAAUCAUUGUUAAGUUAAAACCACCAAUUUUGCACACGAGUCUCAAAUGUACAUGAUUUAUUCAUCAAAAUUGUGAAGUGUAUGACAUGCCUGUUGAUCAUAAGCCUAUGUUGAUGGUCAACAAAGAUUUCUCUAAUUUCUGCGAAUUUGGUCAGGUCACCAAAAAAGUGACAUAUUGCAGCUUUAAAAAUAAAAUAAAUUGGAUCAAUAAAAGUGCCUUUAGAAUA